UCCGGCUUCAAUUUCUGUAUCUAUAGUUGCGCUCUCCAUAUAUUUAUAGCUCAGUGGGUUACCCACAUUUGAAUAGAUGGCGGCCAUGUUGGUCGUCCCCACUUGGUAAUAAACGCUUAAAAACAACAAUAACUUUCAUCAUUUGAAUAGUUUAAAAACGUAUUUGGAAUAGGGUUAACUUCAUGUUUAAGUUCCGUGUUUAAGAAAUAGAAAAUAUACGAAUCUUCUCAUUUCAUGGGAACGACCUGAGACUGCAAUCACGGCUUCAAUUUUUGAAUUGCAGAAUAAUUAGAUGCACUAUCUAGUGUAUAUAAGAUAUCUAUGGUUUCAUUCAACUAAUUUAUAUUAAAGUUACCAAUGAGAAUGUUAAAUUGAGAAAUACAUAAACAUCAACACUUACAACUCGAUGUACACCUACAAUGGC